rnacentral:rRNA from 1 species
AGUAUACUUGCUGACGUCUGGCAUUCAUCGUUUACGGUGUGGACUACCAGGGUAUCUAAUCCUGUUUGCUCCCCACACUUUCGCACCUCAGCGUCAGUUUCGAGCCAGUAAGCCGCCUUCGCCACUGGUGUUCCUCCAAAUAUCUACGAAUUUCACCUCUACACUUGGAAUUCCACUUACCUCUCUCGAACUCAAGACUAGCAGUAUUAAAGGCAGUUCCAGGGUUGAGCCCUGGGAUUUCACCCUUAACUUACUAAUCCGCCUACGUGCGCUUUACGCCCAGUAAUUCCGAACAACGCUAACCCCCUCCGUAUUACCGCGGCUGCUGGCACGGAGUUAGCCGGGGUUUCUUUACCAGAUACUGUCAUUAUCAUCUCUGGCGAAAGUGCUUUACGACCCUAAGGCCUUCAUCACACACGCGGCAUGGCUAGAUCAGGGUUUCCCCCAUUGUCUAAGAUUCCCUACUGCUGCCUCCCGUAGGAGUCUGGGCCGUGUCUCAGUCCCAGUGUGGCUGAUCAUCCUCUCAAACCAGCUAUAGAUCGUAGGCUUGGUAGGCCAUUACCCCACCAACUACCUAAUCUAACGCGGGCUAAUCCUUCUCCGAUAAAUCUUUCCCCCGAAGGGCGUAUAAGGUAUUACUCUCAGUUUCCCGAGGCUAUUCCUUAGAGAAGGGCAUAUUCCCACGCGUUACUCACCCGUCCGCCGCUCAUCCCGAAGGAUGCGCUCGACUUGCAUGUAUUAGGCCUGCCGCCAGCGUUCGUUCUGAGCCAGGAUCAAACUCU